rnacentral:rRNA from 1 species
UGGGUAAUCUGCCCUCGAUUCUGGGAUAGCCCGGGGAAACCCGGAUUAAUACCGGAUAGCCUCUCGAGCUCUCGGGCUCGUGAGAAAAGGUAGCUUCGGCCUCCGAUCGAGGAUGAGCCCGCGGCGGAUUAGCUCGUUGGUGGGGUAAUGGCCCACCAAGGCUACGAUCCGUAGCUGGUCUGAGAGGACGAUCAGCCACACUGGGACUGAGACACGGCCCAGACUCCUACGGGAGCAG